rnacentral:rRNA from 1 species
CCUGGUUGAUCCUGCCAGUAGUCAUAUGCUUGUCUCAAAGAUUAAGCCAUGCAUGUCUAAGUCCAAGCUGUGUCUUGACACGGCGAGACCGCGGACGGCUCAUUAAAUCAGUCGUUGUCCAAAUGGGCCAGUACUAAUUACUUGGAUAACUGUGGUAAUUCCAGAGCUAAUACAUGCAACUUAUACCCUGAUGCUUCGUUCGCGCGUUGCUGACGGGUGCUUUUAUUAGACCAAACCGCUGGGGCUCUCUUAACCGAGAGCCUGAUUUGCUAUGUGGUGACUCUGGAUAACCUUUUGAUGACAAGCGCACGUACCUCUCGUAGGACGGCGCUGCCACUUUCGAGUGUCUGCCUUAUCAGCUGUCAACCGCUCGCUAUACGCGACCGAUGGCUUUGACGGGUAACGGGGAAUCAGGGUUCGAUUCCGGAGAGGCAGCCUGAGAGACGGCUACCACGUCCAAGGACGGCAGCAGGCACGCAAAUUACCCAAUCCCAGCACAUUCUGGGGGAGGUAGUGACGAAACAUAACGAAGCGUGCGCCCUUCACGGGUCUCGCUAUCGGAAUGAGCACUUUUCUAAACACCCUGAUGAGAACCUACUGAAGGGCAAGUCUGGUGCCAGCAGCCGCGGUAAUUCCAGCUUCAGUAGCAUAUAUUAAAGUUGCUGCGGUUAAAAGGCUCGUAGUUGAAUGUCUGUUCCGAGCAGCGGCAGGUGGACGUUGGGGUUGUUGUUGGCUCCUUCGCGGUGUCCAGCACACGCUCCCGUCCGUUAACAUCCUCCGCUCUCGCGUACAAAAGGGCGUCGACCGAGAGUUCUCUCUCGCAGACGCCACAGUCACCCUGAGUAAAUCAGAGUGCUCAAAGCAGUCGUAAAGGGCCUAGCCCUGUUAACACACGGAGCGUGGCUUCGUGCCCGCUCUAAGAGGACAGACUUGGUUUUGCAUGGUAUGUCGGAAAACGACGUCGGGCGCUGGCUAAUGGUCGUAGCAGUGGUAUAAGCCAGCCUCGACGUAAUGAUUAAAAGGGCUUGUCGAGGCCAUUGGUAUUGCGAAGCGAGAGGUGAAAUUCUAUGACCUUCGCAAGACCUCCUGAAGCGAAAGCGUCUGCCAAGGAUGUUUUCAUUAAUCAUGAACGAAAGUUAGAGGAUCGAAGGCGAUCAGAUACCGCCCUAGUUCUAACCCUAAACGAUGCCAACCAUCAAUUCGUCGAGCACCCUUCUUGACGGGCUCGACGGGCGGCUCCUAUCUUACGGGAAACCAGAGUCUCUGGGUUCCGGGGGGAGUCUGGUUGCAAAGCUGAAACUUAAAGGAAUUGACGGAAAGGCACCACCAGGCGUGGAGCCUGCGGCUUAAUUUGACUCAACACGGGCAAUCUCACCAGGCCAGGACUCUAGAAUGAUUGACAGAUUGAGAGCUCUUUCUCGAUUUAGUGGAUGGUGGUGCAUGCCCGUUCUUAGAUGGUGGAGUGAUCUGUCUGGUUAAUUCCGAUAACGAACGAGACUCUCCCCUGCUAACUAGUCGGNUGGAUCUUGAAAUGCGAGUUCGCAGUUGCAGGGAUCUCUCCUUGCGUGGAUGUGCUCGCGUUCCGGUUGUGCUGUGCUUGUCGCGGCCUCCCGUGCGUGCUGUGCUCUGCGUGUAGGGUCUUCCUUGCCUGCACUCCAAGUCCGCCGGCCUUUAUAGGUCUUGAAGAAUUCUUCUUAGAGGGAUCAACGGCUCUGAAGCCGUCAGAGACUGAGAGCAAUAACAGGUCUGUGAUGCCCUUAGAUGUUCUGGGCCGCACGCGCGCUACAAUGCUGGGCACAACAGGUGUUUCUUCCUGCUCCGAGAGGAGCGGGCAACCCUCUGAAAGCCCUUCUUGUCUCUCUCUUUCUGCGUUAGUUUCGCCUCGUGUGUGCUUCGUAGAGGAGAGCAGCGUGCUUGGGCCUGGGGCUUGCAAUUAUUCCCCACAAACGAGGAAUGCCUAGUAGCGGUGGGUCACUGAGCCCGCCGUGACUGAGUCCCUGCCCUUUGUACACACCGCCCGUCGCUACUACCGAUUGGGUGUUCCAGUGAGAGCCUUGGACUGGCAGAGCCGCCCCUCAAAGGCGGUAUCAUGACUGAAAGAGGUCCGAACUGGUGCACUUAGAGGAAGUAAAAGUCGUAACAAGGUUUCCGUAGGUGAACCUGCGGAAGGAUCAUUA